UCCCCGUUACCGAGGCAGUCUAGCUAGAAAAUACAACUAACUACGAGGGUUGCGCUCGUUGAAGGACUUAACCUAACAUCUCACGACACGAGCUGACGACAGCCAUGCAUCACCUGUAUCCAGUCCAACUAAAUGACCAACUAGUUUCCUAGUCGUACGACUAGUAUGUCAAGCCCUGGUAAGGUUCUUCGCGUACCAUCGAAUUAAACCACACGCUCCACCGCUUGUGCGGGUCCCCGUCAAUUCCUUUGAGUUUUAAGCUUGCGCUCGUACUCCCCAGGCGGGAUGCUUAACGCGUUAGCUUCGCAACUGAGAGGGUCGAUACCCCCAACUGCUAGCAUCCAUCGUUUACGGCGUGGACUAC
rnacentral:misc_RNA from 1 species